GCCGCCAUUUGCAUAGGAUGUGACUUGCUCUUCCUUGCCUUCCACCAUGAUUGUGAGGCCUCCUCAGCCACAUGGAACUGGAGUAAAGACAGAAUUUCUCACUGUAGCAAGAUGGCAGACUAAGAAAUAUUUAACACUAUCACUGUUCCCUGAAGCCUCCCCAGAAGCCGAGCAAAUGCCAGUGCCACGCUUGUACAGCCUGCAGAACUGUCAGCUAAUUCAACCUCUUUCUUUUUUAACUACCCAGUCUCAGGUAUUCGUUUAUAGCCACGCAAAAAUGGCCUAAAACAUCCUUUUCCCUCCUACUGAAUCUGGAUAAACUUAUGACUGCUUUGACCAACAGAGUACAGUAAGUUUUGGACUUAGACUUUAAGAUGACUUGCUACUUCCUCUUACUGGCUCAGAGUUCUGGGCGGCCAUGUAAGAAAUUCUAGUGCCUUGCUGUAGAAACAAUAUCUCAAGUAGGAACCUUUAGGUAGGAAUCUUGAGAUUAUAUGGAGCUAAGCCUAGCUUUCCAAUCACCUCUGCCAAAGCCCCAGCCUGUUUGGACCCUGCAGAUGAGACCCAUCACCAGCUGAAUACCACUGAGUAAACUCUCAAUGCGACAGGGAGCAGAAAUAUCCAGCUGAGCUUUGCAUGAAUUAUGAAGCUUAAAAUCAUGAGGUAUAAUUAAUGUUUGUGGCUUAAAGCCAUUAAAUUUUGAGGAAGAAGCUAGGAAGCAAUAGAUAUCUAAAAAAAAGUCUGAGAAUUUUGCAGAAUGAACAAAAUAUGAAUCCUUAAAGCAUCAAAUAAAGGCUCAAUAAAGAGAAUAAAAGUUAUCCCUACUGGGACAUACUGUUGCGAACUGCAGAACAAAAGAGGAAAAUGAAAUCAAGAAUGAAGCAAAAGAGGAAGAAUAGAUUACAUACAAAUAAACAAUUUUAAUAAUUAAUGUACAUUCCUUUAACACCAAUAAAAGACUAGAAUGUAAUGGAUUAAUAUUUUCCAAGCAAUAAGGGAAACUGCUAACCUAGAAUUCUAAAGCCUGCCAAAUCAUCAUUCAAGAUUAAGAGCAAAAUCAAGACAACUUUGGUCCUAAAAGAUUGAAAAAUUUAUUACUAACAAAGCAUCUCUGAAUGAACUUCUAAAGGACGUAUUUCAGUACGAAGGAAACUAAACUCAGAAGGAAGAUGCGUGAAACAAUGAGUAAAAACAAAUAGCACUCUGUAACCAUAAGAAAAACUCAAACAAAAAAGCGAUUUAGGCAAAAGUAAAUAUCUUUUUAUAUAAAUUCCCAAGGUUCUUCAUUAGCAGGUGAGAAUUUAUGCAUGAUAAUUAUUAGUACUAUCAUUGUUUCCUGAUAGUUUGUGCAUGACAGAAAUCAUACCUUAUCUCAUUUAAACAGAAGAAAUAUGUAUUAAUGUUUCCACAUAACAAGGAAAAAAUGGGGAUUAAAGAACGAAUCAGAAUUUGAACAGCUAGUGAGUUGUGGAAUGUAGUUUGGAAACAGUGAUUGCAAAGAUAAUGACCAGCUCCUCUAAACCAUAUAGUCUCCUGUGUAUUCUUUCAGAAUUUAUUUUGCUUGAAUCUCUUACUUUUAAGGAACUUACACAUCUUGUAUAUAUCCAUUUCUCUUUUCUAACUCCCGAUACACUCACCUUCUCCUUUUCCAUCAAACACCAUUGAUACCAAAUGAAAGGCUGUUUACUCUGAAGACAGAGAAUUAUCAAAACAAGUUUCCCAUGACAAAAACGUCUAUGAAAAUGCCAAAUAUAUAUCACCUUGCAAAAUAAUCAUCUUUGUGAAGGAUAAUUAUCUGGCUCUGAAGGACAGAGAUGGUAGCUCUUGCGUAUUUAGCAGGGGAGGUAUUGCUACUCUUAUUUUAAAACAGAGAAAAAUUAAACUCAGGCUACGUGAUCAGUCCAAAAUCACACAACUAUUUAAAAAUAGAGAAAAAUUCAAAGUAAUGUAUUGUGUCUCUGAAGAUGAAGCAUAUUCUAUCACCCAUGUUGACUCUCACAGGUUGGGAAAGUCUGUCAUGUGUCUGGCAUUGGAAUUUGGGACUAUAAACAACUUUUGUCAUAAGUCUUUUCCAAUAUUAUACACUCAAGUGCAAACAAUUCCAAAUGGCACUCACCAACAUUUAUUUAUUGAUUAUCUAUAAUUUUUUGCUCAUUGGAUUAUUACUUUAGACGGGUGCUAUAAUUAGGCACAUCUCUGGAAUGUGGACAAGACAUGACUGGUAUAAAAAUCAAAAUAAAGGUGUGAAAGAAGUGAGGGUAAAGUUUUUGGGGAUGUUCAGGCUACACACAUCCGUCAGCUACUUUUUCAAAAGGAACAGUGGAGAAUCUGACUGUAAAAAGUAAAAUAGAGGUUCCUCUUCAAAGACUUUCCUCCCUGUCUAAUUAGGAAUAAGUAAUAACUUCUCUUAAAAGCAAAAUUUAUUCGAAGACCUGUGCUAACGUUCUUAAAUAUCUGCUAGCCAUAACAGAGAAAUCAAUGUACUUUAAGUUCUUAGCUUAUCCACAAUUGAGCUUAAAUAUUUGCCCUGGCAUGCUUAUACUGGUCCAAGCAAGCAUUGGGUCAUAGCCUGUUCCUUUUCCUUAUUUAAAAGUGUUUUUACUCUUCUCAGCAUUCCGCAAGUUACUUCCUCCUUCCUUUGUUCUCGUCUACCUUUGCCUCUUUUAAAAAGUUCUAAGUUGCUCGCCAAUUGGGAUAAACACAGAAUGUGAGGUUCCGUUCCAGCCAAUGGAAACCGGAAACAGCAGUAGGGUGGAUGCGUCAGGUUAUAAAUGACCCUGUCUCCUUUGUUCGGUGUACUCUCGUGGCAAAACUGCUGGCGAGUGUACCCUUUCUGCAGGAAGUAAA